GGAGGGACCUUAAAGCCAGUCUCUGAUGUUAACACAAUCUCCAACUCAAGUAGUAGAUGGACUGCUACUACCAAGACUGGACAGACUCCCUAGCUGCUGCUGUGCCCAAGAACCACUGCUGAUUCAUCUCCUGGUGACUGCACAUAGAGCACAUAAGCCAGAUGAAAGACCCACAAAGUGAGGACUACCUCACGUUCUGACUCAGGAGAGGCGACACCCCAAAUCACUCACAAGAAAUGGCCUUGAUGCAAAUCGCAAGAGGACCUUUUUAUUCCAGGCAUCACUGAAAUUCUCGGGAGUUCCUAUAGCCAACAGUGCUUCCUACAGCUGAACUUCAGGAGACUGAGGACCCUGCCAUACCCUGCCAGCUGACGCCAAGCUGUGUUCCUACCAUGGAGGGCCUGGAGACACACUGAGAGGGUGACAAUUGAUCAUCAAGCUAUGCUCAUGAUAGCCAACAAGGUUACCAAGGAAAAUCUACAACAGCCUGUCUGAAAAAAAAAAAUAAGUAUAAAGAAAUCAAAUGCAGAAAGUAUUCUCCACCACUUAUAAAAAGCAACUUCCUAACAUCCUAAGAUAACUUAAUAAAAUCCCAGUGUCAGGUCUGGGCUUUCUACCAA
ensembl:lincRNA 1700034K08Rik RIKEN cDNA 1700034K08 gene